CCUGGAAGUCAACCAAGCCCGCCAUGGUUCCGACUCCCACAAACCCGGACUUGACCCCGCCUACAGAUCACGUGAGCUGCUCAGUGGGCGGGGCUUGUCGCAGCGCGUGUGAGUGGUUUUCUCCCUGCAGUCGGAAUCAGCCCGGACCUCCUGCAGUCCCAGUUCUAAAGCCGAGACAGCCGGGAGCUUCGGUUCCUGCCUUUCCAGAGUUUGCAGCGUUGGGCUGGAGCUCACCGCCAAGUGCUCCCAGCCUUGCAAAAUACAGAACUUGAAAUUUAUCAGGAAAGCAUUUACGUAUUCAGGCAGCAAGUGUUUUGAGUAACUUGUGUGUCCCACAUAUGACUGGAACACCUGACAAAAAUAAAUCUCUGCUAGUGCCAUGGGA